CACAGCUGUAGACAACUGCCUAGGGUGCCUUGUACCUAGGCAAGUGUUACUCUGCUGGGAGAAAAGCAGCCAGUAGCUGAUGGGCAUUCUGGGUCUCAUUAAUGCCAAAUCUG
rnacentral:snoRNA from 1 species